rnacentral:misc_RNA from 1 species
AAACAAAUGUCAUGCGAGCACCAAUCAGCUGUUCACAAACCCAAAAGAAAUCAGUUUACGUGGAAGCAAUCAAAUAUUUGCCGAAAAUAGGCGCUGAUGUUUUAACUAAUUACAGUCAUUUUAAUUGUUUCCAGAUUAAAUAUUACACAUUAGAAAUACAGCGCUAUGAUUGAAGUUACAGAUUUACAAAAAAUCGGUAUUGGGCUGGCUGGAUUUGGUGUCUCAUUCCUAUUUUUGGGUGUUCUAUUUCUGUUCGACAAAGGAUUGCUGGCUAUAGGAAACUUGCUCUUCCUAAGUGGUCUGGCAUGUGUAAUUGGAGUUCAACGCACAUUCAGGUUUUUCUUUCAACGGCACAAAGUUAAAGGUACCACAGCAUUUUUUGGCGGAAUUUUUGUGGUUCUGCUGGGAUUUCCAAUGAUCGGAAUGGUUAUUGAGUUAUAUGGAUUCUUUGUGUUAUUCAGCGGAUUUUUCCCCGUGGCGGUAAAUUUCUUGGGGCGAGUACCGGUACUAGGAUCAAUUUUGAAUACUCCAUUGAUCCAAAAGCUGGUACAAAAACUUGGUGGGGACGCGAAUCGAACGACGGUAUAGUAGAACUCCAAACAAACUUUCAACUAAGGAUAAUUUUAAUUUAGUUUAUUCCUCCGUGAAAUUAAACUUAGACCGCGUUUUUGUACAAAAAUACAUAGAUUCCACUUUCACAUGAAAACACCCUGCUCAACGGCGAUUUUUGUAUAUUUAAUUUAAAAACGGACAUAUGUAUUUUUGUAGCUUCUGGCUGCAGCAAAGGCGAAGGCGAAUGUGGUAUAUGAGCGAGAUAUAUACUCUCUGUCAAGUAAGAUGAUUAAUAAAACCGAUGUAAAUAAAAUAUUUAA